rnacentral:rRNA from 1 species
AUACGUAGGUGGCGAGCGUUGUCCGGAUUUACUGGGCGUAAAGGAUGCGUAGGUGGAAACUUAAGUGGGAUGUGAAACUCCCCGGGCUCAACCCGGGAACUGCAUUCCAAACUGGGUUACUUGAGUGCAGGAGAGGAAAGCGGAAUUCCUAGUGUAGCGGUGAAAUGCGUAGAUAUUAGGAAGAACACCAGUGGCGAAGGCGGUCUUUCUGGACUGUAACUGACACUGAGGCAUGAAAGCGUGGGGAGC